rnacentral:lncRNA from 1 species
CAUCUCUUUCUUAAAAAAAAUAAUAAUAAUAAAAAGUAAAAGGAUAAUAUCUAAUAUAUCUCUCAAAACUUUUAAAAUAUCUUAUGUACUUCUGCUUUUUGUUUAUUUCAAAUAUAUCCCUUGUAUAUUUCUUUGUUAUUUAAAAAUAACCCAGCUGUUAAUGCCCGUUAAGUCGCCUCGGAUUAACUCCGAGUUAAAUUUCUAUCAGAGUUCAAAAAAAAAAUCAAAAUACCAUUUUUGCUCCUAAUUUAAAGGCAAAUAAGAAAAAUUAGUGAUAAUAGAAGAGUAUAUUUGAAAAAAUAAAAAAGUCAAAUAUUUUUUUUACUCCUAACGUAAGGAUAAAUAAGAAAAAUUGAUGAUGGUAGAAAGGUAUAUUUGAAAGGACAAAAUAAUAAUUUCACAAAGAUAACGGUGUUCAUAAUAGUUUACUAACAAAAUUUAACUCUAAGGGCAUGCUUGAUUCAUCUAUUUUAGACUAUGAAAUCGGAAUGGAAUUCAUUAAUUCCGAUAGUUGUCGUUUGUUUUAUAGUAAUCGAAUUCCGGUUAUCAUUCCACUCCGGAAUGUGAAUGGCCAAAUCUAUUUAUGACUUAAUCUGGUUUUGAAUUCUGAAUUGGCCCAUUCUAAGUAAACUAUUCAAAAUUUUCUUUCACUAACACCUACCUCAUCUCCCUUCAUCACUUUCCUCUCUCUUAAUCAAAACACUGUUUCAAUAAUUUUAAAUUUCCAUUCCGAUUUUCAUUCUAAUAAUGAACUAAACAUUUUUGGAUGAUUUGUCAUUCUAUUUUCCAUUCCAAAGCAAUUCAAUUCCAUUUCUCAUUUCUAUUCCAAUCAUGAAUCAAACAUGCCUUAAAAGGAUAUAUUUGAAAUAAUUUGGAACGUUAAAAGAGCACUUUUAAUAUUAGCUUUUUAAGAGGGGUAAAUAUAUAAAAAGUCGAAAAUUUUUCAAGGAUAUGUAAGCAUUUACCCUAAAAAUAAAACUACGUUCAAAUCUUUCUUCUUCUUUUUUCCCCUUUCCUUUUGAAAUUUAGAUUAAAGAAGUUACUGGUUACCAAGUCUCUAACAU